GCCUCGGUGGCGUAGUGGUCAAGACGCUCGCCUGGUAAACAGGAGGGCGUGGGUUCGAUCCCAGCCGAGGCA
rfam:Asian citrus Psyllid, Diaphorina citri - Florida Strain, whole genome shotgun sequence.